rnacentral:antisense_RNA from 1 species
GUGGGAGGGGGCUUGCUCCCGAAGGCGGUGUGUCAUUCAGAAAUUGUCUGACUGACACGGCCAAUUCGGAAGCAAGCCCCCUCCCAC